UUAAAGAUUGUUUAUGUGGUCGGAGGAAGAUGGAGAUCCAGAGACUCCCUGAAAAGCUAUGAGAAGCUAUGCAUAUACAUGAAUUUUCCUGUAAAAUGGGGCCUCUGUUUUCAUCAGAUUUUCAAGAGUUGAGUAAAGAAAGGUUUAAAACCUCUAAUUUAAGCAAUCCUAAGUGGAAGAGUAGAUCUUUUUUUACAUCAGUUUUUACAGUGUUAGAUUCAAGCCUUAGUUAACAUUCCCUCUUCAUCUAGACACUAUGUUUUACAAAUUACGAGUCGUGAUCUAUAUGAUGAAUCACAAUGGGCAUUAAAGAAUAAAUUGGAAGAGAAUGAAAUAAUCACCAGGGCCUCACCUGUAAUAAGGUUUCCAGGAUGCUGUGUUCCACAGUUUGGUGGUUGGAAGGAAAACAGCUGGCCCGUGAUGGAAUCUGAGAAAAAGAUGGUGACUGUUCUCCAAAGAACCCUUUUACACAGGUGCUACCUCCAUUCUGCUCUGAUGAAGCUCCAGUCUACAAAUGCAAUUUGUGAAUAGCACCCAUACACCCAAUAGAACACACUGCCCUCCAGACUAACCAGGCUUCAUUCUGUAACCCUCUCGCCGUGUUCAUCGUACGCACCUUGCUCUUCUGCUCACCCUCUCAUUUCUUCCUUGGCUUCACACCUGCGUUCAAGUCAUUCAUUGUGGUCAUAAAAGAUGAAACAUUAUUGUCGAUGUCAAAUCCCUCAACACCUAAAAACUGAAAUAAAUAUUGUAAUCCUCCUUGACCAGGAACAGGGUGACCAACAUCUUGUGUGCAACUGAGCACUCCAUUUAGAGUGCUACAUUUUGAUCCCUGUUCAACUUUAAAUCAUUUUUCUUGACUCUCCUUAAAC